rnacentral:snoRNA from 2 species
AUGAAGAGUUGAACCCACGCUGAGUUGUGGCGAGAGCCUGCCCAUCUGGCGGGCGCUGA